rnacentral:rRNA from 1 species
AUACGGAGGGUGCGAGCGUUAAUCGGAAUUACUGGGCGUAAAGCGUGCGUAGGCGGUUGAUUUAGUCAGAUGUGAAAGCCCCGGGCUCAACCUGGGAACUGCAUUUGAAACUGGUCAACUGGAGUAUGGUAGAGGGGGGUAGAAUUUCUGGUGUAGCGGUGAAAUGCGUAGAUAUCAGAAGGAAUACCGAUGGCGAAGGCAGCCCCCUGGACCAAUACUGACGCUGAGGUGCGAAAGCGUGGGGAGCAAACAGGAUUAGAUACCCCGGUAGUCC